AUGUGUGAGCCUCCCACUCCCUUGACCCCCUUUCCUCACACCGCAAUCCAUUGGCCUUUGAUCCGUUUGCACCCUGUUGUAGUUUCCCGGUGGCAGUUUGAUGAAUUCCAGAAGGCGGCCAAGGAGAUGGUGAACCACAAGAAGGAGACGACCAUGCUCUCCUUCAUCUUCGACAAUGGCGUCAUCGUCGCGGCCGAUUCCUGGGCCAGCUUGUGCGCGUACAUAUGUAAUCUUGCACCUCUUUUUCAUGGCAUCAUACAAGUCUCUUGUAUUACAAUAUUUGCACUAUACACAUCCUGA
rnacentral:rRNA from 1 species